GAUGAACGCUAGCUACAGGCUUAACACAUGCAAGUCGAGUGGAAGCGGCAUCGAAAGCUUGCUUUUGAUGGGCGUCGACCGGCGCACGGGUGAGUAACGCGUAUCCAACCUGCCCAUCACUUGGGAAUAACCUUGCGAAAGUAAGACUAAUGCCCAAUGACAUCCCACGAAGGCAUCCGAAUGGGAUUAAAGAUUUAUCGGUGAUGGAUGGGGAUGCGUCUGAUUAGCUUGUUGGCGGGGUGACGGCCCACCAAGGCAACGAUCAGUAGGGGUUCUGAGAGGAAGGUCCCCCACAUUGGAACUGAGACACGGUCCAAACUCCUACGGGAGGCAGCAGUGAGGAAUAUUGGUCAAUGGGCGAGAGCCUGAACCAGCCAAGUAGCGUGCAGGAUGACGGCCCUAUGGGUUGUAAACUGCUUUUAUAAGGGAAUAAAGUGGGUCACGUGUGACUUUUUGCAUGUACCUUAUGAAUAAGGACCGGCUAAUUCCGUG
rnacentral:rRNA from 1 species